rnacentral:rRNA from 1 species
GUGGGGAAUCUUCCGCAAUGGACGAAAGUCUGACGGAGCGACGCCGCGUGAGUGAAGAAGGCCUUCGGGUCGUAAAGCUCUGUCAUCAGGGACGAACGGCCGGUGGAGUGGAAAGCCACCGGAUUGACGGUACCUGAGAAGGAAGCCACGGCUAACUACGUGCCAGCAGCCGCGGUAAUACGUAGGUGGCAAGCGUUGUCCGGAAUUAUUGGGCGUAAAGCGCGCGCAGGUGGGAUCUUAAGUCCAUUUUGAAAGUUCGGAGCUCAACUCCGUGAUGGGAUGGAAACUGGGAUUCUUGAGUACCGGAGAGGAAAGCGGAAUUCCCCGUGUAGCGGUGAAAUGCGUAGAUAUGGGGAGGAACACCAGUGGCGAAGGCGGCUUUCUGGACGGUGUCUGACACUGAGGCGCGAAAGCUAGGGGAGCGAUCGGGAUUAGAAACCCCAGUAGUCC